GUCUUUGGUUAUCUAGCUGUAUGAGUGUUAAAUACCUGUCAUAAAGCUAGAUAACCGAAAGU
rnacentral:pre_miRNA from 8 species